CCGGCCUCAGAUAAGCAUCUGCACACUCUUUAACAUGGCAAGAUUACUGGAGCAGUUGCAUGACACAGAAACUGCCAGCAUCUUUUACCGACAUAUCUUAUUCAAGUAUCCAGAGUAUGCAGAUGCUUAUCUGAGGCUGGCGUCCAUUGCAAAAGCCCGAAAUAAUGUGCAGCUAAGCAAUGAGUUGAUUAGUGAUGCGCUAAAGGUGAAUGAGAAGUAUCCAGAUGCACUGCUAAUGCUUGGUGAUUUGGAACUUAAGAAUGAUGACUGGGUUAAGG
rnacentral:misc_RNA from 1 species